AUUGAACGCUGGCGGCAGGCCUAACACAUGCAAGUCGAGCGGUAACACAGAGAGCUUGCUCUCGGGUGACGAGCGGCGGACGGGUGAGUAAUGUCUGGGAAACUGCCUGAUGGAGGGGGAUAACCACUGGAAACGGUAGCUAAUACCGCAUAACGUCGCAAGACCAAAGAGGGGGACCUUCGGGCCUCUUGCCAUCAGAUGUGCCCAGAUGGGAUUAGCUAGUAGGUGGGGUAACGGCGCACCUAGGCGACGAUCCCUAGCUGGUCUGAGAGGAUGACCAGCCACACUGGAACUGAGACACGGUCCAGACUCCUACGGGAGGCAGCAGUGGGGAAUAUUGCACAAUGGGCGCAAGCCUGAUGCAGCCAUGCCGCGUGUAUGAAGAAGGCCUUCGGGUUGUAAAGUACUUUCAGCGGGGAGGAAGGUGCUGAGGUUAAUAACCUCAGCAAUUGACGUUACCCGCAGAAGAAGCACCGGCUAACUCCGUGCCAGCAGCCGCAGUAAAAC
rnacentral:rRNA from 1 species